rnacentral:rRNA from 1 species
UACGGAGGGUGCAAGCGUUAAUCGGAAUUACUGGGCGUAAAGCGUGCGUAGGCGGUUCGUUAAGUCUGUUGUGAAAGCCCCGGGCUCAACCUGGGAAUGGCAAUGGGAUCGUGGCAGCUAGAGUGUGUCAGAGGAUGGUGGAAUUCCCGGUGUAGCGGUGAAAUGCGUAGAGAUCGGGAGGAACAUCAGUGGCGGAAGGCGGCCAUCUGGGGACAACACUGACGCUGAGGCACGAAAGCGUGGGGAGCAAACAGG